UACGUAGGCAGCGAGCGUUGUUCGGAGUUACUGGGCGUAAAGGGUGUGUAGGCGGUUGGAUAAGUGUGGUGUGAAAUCUCCCGGCUCAACUGGGAGGGUGCGCUACAAACUGUCUGACUAGAGUGUGGGAUGGGAAAGUGGAAUUCCUGGUGUAGCGGUGAAAUGCGUAGAUAUCAGGAGGAACACCGGUGGUGUAGACGGCUUUCUGGACCAUAACUGACGCUGAGACACGAAAGCGUGGGUAGCAAACAGG
rnacentral:rRNA from 1 species